AGGAAUAUUGGUCAAUGGGCGAGAGCCUGAACCAGCCAAGUAGCGUGAAGGAUGACUGCCCUAUGGGUUGUAAACUUCUUUUAUAAAGGAAUAAAGUCGGGUAUGCAUACCCGUUUGCAUGUACUUUAUGAAUAAGGAUCGGCUAACUCCGUGCCAGCAGCCGCGGUAAUACGGAGGAUCCGAGCGUUAUCCGGAUUUAUUGGGUUUAAAGGGAGCGUAGAUGGAUGUUUAAGUCAGUUGUGAAAGUUUGCGGCUCAACCGUAAAAUUGCAGUUGAUACUGGAUAUCUUGAGUGCAGUUGAGGCAGGCGGAAUUCGUGGUGUAGCGGUGAAAUGCUUAGAUAUCACGCAGAACCCCGAUUGCGAAGGCAGCCUGCUAAGCUGCAACUGACAUUGAGGCUCGAAAGUGUGGGUAUCAAACAGGAUUAGAUACCCUGGUAGUCCACACGGUAAACGAUGAAUACUCGCUGUUUGCGAUAUACAGCAAGCGGCCAAGCGAAAGCGUUAAGUAUUCCACCUGGGGAGUACGCCGGCAACGGUGAAACUCAAAGGAAUUGACGGGGGCCCGCACAAGCGGAGGAACAUGUGGUUUAAUUCGAUGAUACGCGAGGAACCUUACCCGGGCUUAAAUUGCAGAUGAAUUACGGUGAAAGCCGUAAGCCGCAAGGCAUCUGUGAAGGUGCUGCAUGGUUGUCGUCAGCUCGUGCCGUGAGGUGUCGGCUUAAGUGCCAUAACGAGCGCAACCCUUGUUGUCAGUUACUAACAGGUUCCGCUGAGGACUCUGACAAGACUGCCAUCGUAAGAUGUGAGGAAGGUGGGGAUGACGUCAAAUCAGCACGGCCCUUACGUCCGGGGCUACACACGUGUUACAAUGGGGGGUACAGAGGGCCGCUACCACGCGAGUGGAUGCCAAUCCCAAAAACCUCUCUCAGUUCGGACUGGAGUCUGCAACCCGACUCCACGAAGCUGGAUUCGCUAGUAAUCGCGCAUCAGCCACGGCGCGGUGAAUACGUUCCCG
rnacentral:rRNA from 1 species